rnacentral:rRNA from 1 species
UACGGAGGGAGCUAGCGUUGUCCGGAAUCAUUGGGCGUAAAGAGCGUGUAGGCGGCCCGAUAAGUCCGCUGUGAAAGUCCAGGGCUCAACCCUGGAAUGCCAGUGGAAACUGUCGGGCUGGAGUCCGGAAGAGGCGAGUGGAAUUCCUGGUGUAGAGGUGAAAUUCGUAGAUAUCGAGAGGAACAUCUGUGGCGAAGGCGGGCCUUCUGGACGGUGGACGUGACGGACCUGAUGGACGAAAAG